rnacentral:misc_RNA from 1 species
UUUCCGUAAGUGAACCUGCGGAAGGAUCAUUAUUGUAUAACCGAGGUGCGAGGGCUGUCGCUGACCCGAAAGGUCGUGCACGCCCGAGUGCCCUCACACACAUCCAUCUCACCCCUAUGUGCACCACCGCGUGGGUCCCCCUUUGGCUCGUUCGGAGGGGGGCUUACGUUUUCACACAAACUUUGUAUGCAGUGUAGAAUGUAUUUUUUGUUUUUGCGAUCACGCAAUCAAUACAACUUUCAACAACGGAUCUCUUGGCUCUC